rnacentral:pre_miRNA from 1 species
AUGUAGGACCAUCUGUCUUUAAGUAGGGAUACGUUACUCUAAAAAAUAUAAGAAUCUUACAUAGUUUUUCCUUCAAGUCAAGUAUUUGU